rnacentral:rRNA from 1 species
AGUGAACGCUGGCGGCGUGCUUAACACAUGCAAGUCGAACGAGAACAGAUUAUAGCUUGCUAUAAUUGUCAGCUAAGUGGCGCACGGGUGAGUAAUGUAUAGGUAAUAUGCCUCUUACUAAGGGAUAACAAAUGGAAACGUUUGCUAAUACCUUAUACUCCUUAUUAGCAGAAGUUAAUAAGGGAAAGAUUUAUUGGUAAGAGAUUAGCCUGUAUUGUAUCAGUUAGUUGGUGGGGUAAUGGCUUACCAAGACUAUGACACAUAACUGGUUUGAGAGGAUGAUCAGUCACACUGGAACUGAGACACGGUCCAGACUCCUACGGGAGGCAGCAGUGGGGAAUAUUGCACAAUGGACGAAAGUCUGAUGCAGCAACGCCGCGUGGAGGAUGACACAUUUCGGUGCGUAAACUCCUUUUAUAUGAGAAGAUAAUGACGGUAUUAUAUGAAUAAGCACCGGCUAACUCCGUGCCAGCCGCCGCCGUAAAAC